rnacentral:rRNA from 1 species
CCUACGUGAGGCAGCAGUGGGGAAUAUUGGGCAAUGGGCGCAAGCCUGACCCAGCAACGCCGCGUGAAGGAUGAAGGUUUUCGGGUUGUAAACUUCUUUUAAGAGGGAAGAGCAGAAGACGGUACCUCUUGAAUAAGCCACGGCUAACUACGUGCCAGCAGCCGCGGUAAUACGUAGGUGGCAAGCGUUGUCCGGAUUUACUGGGAGUAAAGGGCGUGCAGCCGGGAAGACAAGUCAGAUGUGAAAUCCCGCGGCUCAACCGCGGAACUGCAUUUGAGACUGUUUUUCUUGAGUACCGGAGAGGUAAUCGGAAUUCCUUGGGUAGCGGUGAAAUGCGUAGAUAUAAGGAAGAACACCAGUGGCGAAGGCGGAUGACUGGACGGCAACUGACGGUGAGGCGCGAAAGCGUGGGGAGCAAACAGGAUUAGAUACCCCAGUAGUC